rnacentral:rRNA from 1 species
UACGUAGGUGGCGAGCGUUGUCCGGAAUUACUGGGUGUAAAGCGCGCGUAGGCGGUAGGCCGAGUCUGCUGUGAAAUCGCCCGGCUCAACUGGGCGCGGUCGGUGGAAACUGGUCAACUGGAGGACGGUAGAGGCGAGUGGAAUUCCCGGUGUAGUGGUGAAAUGCGUAGAUAUCGGGAGGAACACCUGUGGCGAAAGCGGCUCACUGGACCAUAACUGACGCUGAUGCACGAAAGCUAGGGGAGCAAACAGG